rnacentral:rRNA from 1 species
UACGUAGGGUGCGAGCGUUGCCCGGAAUUAUUGGGCGUAAAGAGCUCGUAGGCGGUCUGUCGCGUCGAUCGUGAAAACUUGGGGCUUAACCCUGAGCUUGCGGUCGAUACGGGCAUGACUGGAGUUCGGCAGGGGAGACUGGAAUUCCUGGUGUAGCGGUGAAAUGCGCAGAUAUCAGGAGGAACACCGGUGGCGAAGGCGGGUCUCUGGGCCGAUACUGACGCUGAGGAGCGAAAGCUAGGGGAGCGAACGGG